ACGCAGGCAGCGGCUUGUGAACGCGGGCGGCGCUCCCCGAGGGUGAGCGCUGGGUAAACAAGGUCUGCGAGUUACAGGAACUCCCCACGGUGGCUUCUUGGGGAGAAGGAAAGUCUUUGGGGCUGGGAACCCGCGGACCGCCAGCCCCCAGCCCCCUCCCCGCUGUACAUCUUUGUGAGUUUCUGGGUUGUGUAACCUUUGGAGCCUCUCCCUUCGGCCUGCCUGCCUGAUGAUCCUUUCCGCCCUCGUAACCCUCCACUUCCCACACGCUGGAACCGCUGAGGUCAUGUGGUCAGGAGGUACAAUUUCCCAGUUUUUCAUACGAGAGCUUUUAACCCAGAGACUGUGGUGCAUGGCUACAGGGCGAGAUGAGCGCUUCUCCAGACUGUGCAGCCUUCGGGACAGAACGUGGGUCGCUUUGAUUUGGGCCGAGCCGGGUCCUCACCCCAGGGUGUAGCCACUUGGGACAGGUCACCCCUUAUUUCUCCUGGAGGAGACAGCUGUGUUUCACCAGGGGUAAAAUGAUUUAUGUGCACAAUUUAAAUAGUGUUUUGGAGCUCCGAGGCAUGCAAAAUGCAGCAUAACUGGAAGUAUAGAAAAAAUACAACAACACAUGAAGAUAUGUUGAAGCCACUUUGUACCUGCUUUCAGUUCUACUCUCCAAACCCUCUGGAGGUAGCCACUAUUCCAAAAUUGCAGGGACACAGAGAGCUGUGUGUGGCCCCAGACCAGCCAGACUUCUGCUACAUCAUUCUGGUAAUAAACAGCCUUGACAAAGGCCUCUGGUGACCUUCAUGUGGCUAAACUCAAUGGAGAUUUCUUAGUCCUCAUCUUUUUCAAGUUCUGAGGAGCCUUGACAAUCACUUCCUUCUUUUGAAAAAAAGGCUUUUCUUAUGACUUUGGAGGCAUCAUAUUCUCUUGAUUCUCCUUCCUCUUCUCUGGCUAAUCCUUCUUAAUAAGAGUAAGCCCGUCCCCAGAUGUUACAUUUUGGAGCUUCUAAACAUUUAAUCCUAAAAAUCAAUCUCAAACUCAAUCUCUGUGUGUGUGUGUGUGUGUGUGUGUGUGUGUAUGUGUAUAUGGUAUGUGGUAUACCAUACCAUACAGUGGUAUGUGUGUGUGUGUAUAUAUGGUUUUUGUUUUGUUUUGUUUUUUACUCUUUACUCUGUAUCUAGCAAACUCACUGCUGCCCAUGAUUACUCCCAUCUAUACACCAGUGGUUUCUAAGUUUGUAUCUCUAACCUGAACUUUGGGUUCUAGACCUGUAGCCAGCUGUAUCAGUUGGCAGCCUUAAGGGUGCUUCAGGUUAGAUAUGCUCUAAACUAACCUCAUGAUCUUUCCCUUAAGUAUUGUCCUCCUCUACUUAUAUCCAUUUCUUUAUAAGCCAUUAGUAUCCAUCUGAAACGUAGCCAGAAACAUAGGCAUCGCCCCCGAUAUAUUGAUUUCUCCAACCCCCUCUCCUACCAAGGAUCUAAAUCUAUCACUAAGCUCUGAAAAUUUUAUCUUCUAGAUAGCUUUUGGCUAUACCUACAUCUUUGUAUCUCUGUGUUCACCAUUGUCCAAUUUAUUGCUGUCCUUUGCUUGGAUUAAUGUAAUGAUGGCUUAACUUGUUUUCCAGAAUCUUCUUUGGUUUCUUUUCAGUCUACUCUCUGAGUAGUAGUUGCUCAUCUUUCCAAAACACAAAUUUGGUCAUGUUCCCUCAGGCCCCAUAAAAGCCUUUGUAUCUGUCAGAAUAAGUUAGGUAAUCCUGUUGUAACAAACAACCCCAGAAAUCUCCUUAGCUUUCAACAACAGCAGUUAUUGCUCAUUCACAGCAUGUCUGUUGCUUUGCUCCAUGGACAUUUCACUUUGGAAUUCAAGCUGAUGGAGUAGCCCCUGUAUAUAACAUUGCUGGUCAUGGUAGCAAUGACAUGACUGAAGAGGAAGUGUAACCCACAUGCUGGCUCUGAAAGCUUCUGCCUAGAAGGGACACAUACUACGGUUGCCCACAUUUCAUUGGCCAUAGCAGGUCACAAAGUCUUCUCUGAGUUCAGUAGGAAUGGAUGCAAUCUUCCUACAGGGAGGAACACUGGAGGAAGUAAAGUCAGAAUAUUUGACAACCGGGAAUUUACCACAAUUCACCAUUCCCUUCAGUGACUUCCUAUUGUUUCAAGGAUGAAAUCCAAAACCUUACCAGACCUGCAAGACUCCUGGUGAUGUUCUCUGCCUUGAACUCCCCAGCUUUACCUGUCACCUCUCUAUCUCUCAUUCUCUAAGCUCUACUACACUAUUCAUUCCUUCUUUGACCACACACUCUCUCUUUUAGGAUCCCUGAUCAUGCUGAUCCCUCUCUCUAUUCUUUUGCCUGUCCUCCUCUUCAUCCUUUAUUCUGCAGAAAAGCCUUCCCUGAAUCUCCAGACUAGCUCCGGUUCUGUUGUCAUAUGCUUACAUGAAAUGACAUUCUUUCUCUUCAAAGCUCACUUAUUUGAGCUUUUAAUUAUAAAUCCAUUAGUGUGACUAGGUGAUGAAUGUUUGUCUUCUCUGCCUCGGCUCUGGGUUCAAUGAGAAUAAGAACCAUGUCUGGUUUUGCUCAUCAUUAUAUAGACAGGAGGCAUCACAAUGCUUUAAACUUAGUAAAUCUUCAGUAUAAGUUGACUGAAUGAAUGAAAAAGGAAGAAAUUGAAAUGCCUAGAAGAACCAUAUGAAGAAUUGAAUGUACUUGAUUUGGGGAAGAGAAUACUCACAUGGGAGGAGCUGAAAAGCUAUAUACGUAUGGAGGGCCUCCACAGAAAAGUGAAAGUGAGAAUUGAUUUUUUAAAAAGAUUUUUUAAAACUUAUUUGAGAGAGAGAGAGAGAGAGCGUGAACAAGUGGGGGGAGAGGCAGAGGAACAAGCAGACUCUCCGUUGAGCAGGGAGCCCGA